GACGAACGCUGGCGGCGUGCCUAAUACAUGCAAGUUGAGCGCUGAAGGUUGGUACUUGUACCGACUGGAUGAGCAGCGAACGGGUGAGUAACGCGUGGGGAAUCUGCCUUUGAGCGGGGGACAACAUUUGGAAACGAAUGCUAAUACCGCAUAAAAACUUUAAACACAAGUUUUAAGUUUGAAAGAUGCAAUUGCAUCACUCAAAGAUGAUCCCGCGUUGUAUUAGCUAGUUGGUGAGGUAAAGGCUCACCAAGGCGAUGAUACAUAGCCGACCUGAGAGGGUGAUCGGCCACAUUGGGACUGAGACACGGCCCAAACUCCUACGGGAGGCAGCAGUAGGGAAUCUUCGGCAAUGGACGAAAGUCUGACCGAGCAACGCCGCGUGAGUGAAGAAGGUUUUCGGAUCGUAAAACUCUGUUGGUAGAGAAGAACGUUGGUGAGAGCGGAAAGCUCAUCAAGUGACGGUAACUACCCAGAAAGGGACGGCUAACUACGU
rnacentral:rRNA from 1 species